CCCUGGAGAUGGAGGUUGCAGUGAGCCAAGACUGUGCCACUGCACUCCAGCGUGGGCGACAGAGCGAGACUCUGUCUCAGGGGGGAAAAAGAAAACAACAAAUGGUUUGCUUUGUUCUAGUUCAAUUUUUUCAACGAUUUAAAAAGUUUAUAGGACUCAAGGAACCAAAACUGUAUCUGAUGGCCUCAAGGGUUAUGUUUGAAGGCUUGCUGACUUGCAGAAAACUCAAGCUGACUGUUCAAGAUGUUCAGGGCAAAAACUGCCUAGCUUCCAUGCGUGGGUCUUACCCAUGACAAAAUGUGUUGUGUGAUUUAAAAAUGGCAGACCACCCGGGUGGAUCACUUGAGGUCAGGAGUUCGAGACCAGCCUGGACAACAUGGCAAAAUCCUGUCUCUACAAAAAAUACAAAAAUUAGCUGGGCGUGGUGGUGCAUGCCUAUAGUCCCAGCUACCCAGGAGGCAGAGGCUGCAGUGAGCUGAGAUCACGCUACUGCAUUCUAGCCUGAGUGACAGUGAGAAACCGUCUCAAAAAAAAAAAAAAAAAAAAAAAAAAAAAAGGCAGACCAUGAUUGAAGCUCAUGUUGAUGUCUAGACUACCAAUGGUUAAAGAAAACCUCAGCACCAACAGGUCUAAGAUGAUGGAAAUCAUGAAAGAGAGAUGCAGACAAAUAACUUGAAAGAAGUGGUGGAGAAAAUUAUUCCAGACAGCACUGGAGAAGACACAGAAAUGCCUGCAAAUCUAUUUAUCCGCUCCACGAUGUCUUCUCUGUGAGGAAAGUUAAAAUGCUAAAAACACUCAGGUUUGCAUUGGGAAAACGUAGGGAGCUUUGUGGUGAAGACAGCAGUUCUGGAAAAGCUACUGGGAUGAGCUAGGUACUAAAGUGAAAAGUCCUAUUUAUGA
rnacentral:lncRNA from 1 species